GUCUAUGGCCACGCCACCCUGAACAAGCCCGAUCCCGUCUGAUCUCAGAAGCUAAGCAGGGUCGGGCCUAGUUAGUACUCGGAUGGGAGACCACCUAGGAAGACGAGCGGCUAUAGGCG
rnacentral:rRNA from 1 species